rnacentral:sRNA from 1 species
AUGGCUGUCGUCAGCUCGUGUCGUGAGAUGUUGGGUUAAGUCCCGCAACGAGCGCAACCCUUAUCCUAUGUUGCCAGCGGGUAAUGCCGGGGACUCGUAGGAGACUGCCGGGGUCAACUCGGAGGAAGGUGGGGAUGACGUCAAGUCAUCAUGCCCCUUAUGUCCAGGGCUGCACACAUGCUACAAUGGCCGGUACAAAGGGCUGCUAUCCCGCGAGGGUGAGCGAAUCCCAAAAAGCCGGUCUCAGUUCGGAUUGGAGUCUGCAACUCGACUCCAUGAAGUCGGAGUCGCUAGUAAUCCCGGAUCAGCAACGCCGGGGUGAAUACGUUCCCGGGCCUUGUACACACCGCCCGUCACACCACGAAAGUCGGCAACACCCGAAGCCGGUGGCCCAACCGCAAGGAGGGAGCCGUCGAAGGUGGGGUCGGUGAUUGGGGUGAAGUCGUAACAAGGUAGCCGUACCGGAAGGUGCGGCUGGAUCACCUCCUUUCUAAGGAGUCAACUGUCAGGCCAUCUCGGUCUGGCGAACUCCCAGUCGAUCACUAGCUAUUCGGUCGGCAGGUCAGCCAGCGCAUUCGAAGGUUUCGACCUCGUGCGCCGGGCAACCAGUCAGCCGGGCCUCCUCUAUUCCGUUUUCUGGGCACGCCGCUGCGGUAGCAGCCGUCGGCGUUCCCAGAGGAGAGCCUCGCAAGAGGGCUCACGAUGCCGGCACCCCCACAGGCGCCGGUCUCUUGCGUCCCCGUCGCGCGCCCCUUGAGAACUCCAUAGCGAGCACGAGCAUCUUUGUUUAUCAAGCUACAAAGAGCCAACGGUGGAUGCCUUGGCGCCUGAAGCCGAUGAAGGACGUGGGUGGCUGCGAAAAGCCACGGGGAGCUGCCGACCAAGCUUCGAUCCGUGGAUGUCCGAAUGGGGAAACCCGG